GACGAACGCUGGCGGCGUGCUUAACACAUGCAAGUCGAACGGAAAGGCCCUGCUUGCAGGGUACUCGAGUGGCGAACGGGUGAGUAACACGUGGGUGAUCUGCCCUGCACUUCGGGAUAAGCCUGGGAAACUGGGUCUAAUACCGGAUAGGAGCCAUUUUUAGUGUGAUGGUUGGAAAGUUUAUUCGGUGUAGGAUGAGCUCGCGGCCUAUCAGCUUGUUGGUGGGGUAAUGGCCUACCAAGGCGGCGACGGGUAGCCGGCCUGAGAGGGUGGACGGCCACAUUGGGACUGAGAUACGGCCCAGACUCCUACGGGAGGCAGCAGUGGGGAAUAUUGCACAAUGGGCGCAAGCCUGAUGCAGCGACGCCGCGUGGGGGAUGACGGCCUUCGGGUUGUAAACUCCUUUCGCUAGGGACGAAGCUUUUUGUGACGGUACCUAGAUAAGAAGCACCGGCUAACUACGUG
rnacentral:rRNA from 1 species